rnacentral:tRNA from 1 species
GGUCCUGUAGCUCAGUUGGGAGAGUACCACCUUGACAUGGUGGGGGUCGCUGGUUCGAGACCAGUCGGGACCA